rnacentral:rRNA from 1 species
GAUGAACGCUAGCGGCAGGCCUAACACAUGCAAGUCGAGGGGCAGCGCAAAGAUAGUUUACUAUUUUGGCGGCGACCGGCGCACGGGUGAGUAACGCGUAUGCAACCUACCUUAUACAGGAGUAUAGCCCUAAGAAAUUGGGAUUAAUCCUCCAUAGUAUUCUUUAAUGGCAUCAUUUGAAGAAUUAAAGCUUCGAAGGUAUAAGAUGGGCAUGCGUCCUAUUAGCUAGAUGGUAAGGUAAUGGCUUACCAUGGCUACGAUAGGUAGGGGGCCUGAGAGGGUGAUCCCCCACACUGGUACUGAGACACGGACCAGACUCCUACGGGAGGCAGCAGUGAGGAAUAUUGGGCAAUGGAGGCAACUCUGACCCAGCCAUGCCGCGUGCAGGAAGAAUGCCCUAUGGGUUGUAAACUGCUUUUAUUUAGGAAUAAACCCCUC